AGAGGCUUCUUGAAACAGGUCAAGGAGUUUUUACAGACAUGUGCUGUACAGACAUUUUCUCCAGUGUCUUCAAGGGCUAUUUCAUAGUUCAGAGGACCCAGGUGCUUCAGAAUACGUUGAUACGGUCAUACGGUUUUCUUUGGCUUGGGAUUGUAAGUAAUGAAGAUGCUGGACCAGCGUCUGGGGUUAAAUUAGCCCCAUGGAGCAUCUUGUCCAUUGGACCUUGAAGUUUUCUGCCAAGCUGUAGCUCUGCUGGCGACAGUCCAGUGGUUUCUUGUACAGCUGAAUUUAAAGAAAACCAGAAUUCAGCUCUCUGAAGACAGAUGAGACAAACUGCACGCCCUUGUCUGAGAGGAUGAAAUCUGGUACACCCCAUUGAGUCAGGAUUUCUUUUCUGAAGAUAGAGGCAACAUUCUGGGCAGUGGAUUUACGCAUGGGGAACAACUCAACCCAUCGAGAAUAAUUAUCAACAAACACAAGCAGGUUUUCACAUGACAUUUCACGUCAGACUACAUGCCUGGCCAGAAUGCUACUUCUUGGAGUCGUUUGUAUGUUUUGUAGAUUCCUCUAUGGCCACUAAGAGGACUGGAGUGGUAGACAGGGCCGAAGACUACUGGGUACAUACACUCUGUAGUGCAUCUGGUUAUUUGGACAAUAUCUGACAAUGGCAUGUCUGACUCCUUGGCUUUGUUAUUGGGGUCCAUUGCUACCUGCCAAUAGCCACUGUUGAGGUCAAAAGUGAAGAAAAUAGCUGCUCCAGAGAGUGACUCCAGGAUUUCUCUGAUGUUUGGAAGAGGACCACUGGGGAGGCCCAACCAGAGUGGGAUGGCUCAACAAUUCCUUGCAUCAACAUUUCAUCAAGCUGUUCCUCCAUGGAAAGUUGCUUAACAGCGGACAAACGGUAUGGUUUUUGUCUAAUGGGUACCUGACACGUGGUAUAUUUUCAGGAUGUGGAGCAACUGUUGUUUACCAUCUGGAGGUAAAUGAGCUUCAUUCACUGCAUUUUCGAUUAUCAUUUUUCGUCCAUAUGGUCAGAUUGUUGUAUUAGCAGUUGAGGGGAUGGAGGUGGAACAGAACUCAACAGGGACAUAUUCUGUGUGGAUUUCUUCUGUUGCAGGUAUUCAGAUUGUGGACUCACAAUUGGCACACUGUCAUUACCUGGUUGAAAGGGGUACUCUUUUGCAGGGGCAAACUUGAAAGAAUAUUUUUGAUCUGUGACAUUAAGUUGCAUUCCACUGAAGAAAA